UUGCUCUGACAGUAUAUUUAUAUAAAACUGAAAUGAUACAGAGAUAAUUAGCAUGGCCCCUGCACAAAUGUGUUAAGCAUUUCAUACUAAAAGUCCACUACAGCA